AAAACCUUCAAUAUAUGAGAUAAUAACAACCAACUGAAAAUACAUAUAAUAGUUCCAAAAGGUAAAUUCGGCUUUAUCGGAUUUAAAGCUUUAGGUUUGGUUGUUUGGCAAAUAUGGUUGGUAAUGGUGGAAGGUUAGAUUAAAAGGGGAUAAUAUGAUGUCAGGAGAUGAGAGAUACAAAAAGUGCACCGUUCACACGAUCGUGGGGGAUCCACGAUCGACAAGGAGGGCGGUACACCACGGCUAGAAUUUCGGCAACGGGGAAAAAGAAGAUGAGAUAGUGACUCGGAAGAAGAGGAGGGAUAGAAGUAGAAGCCGAUCUUGUCACGAGGAAGAAGCGACAACGAUCAAGUUGAGGAAGAAGACGAUCUCGGCGCGAGGAAGAAGAGUCGAUGAUCUCACCGGGAAGUGGAACACCAAGGAUAUAGAUUGAGAGUAGAAUUUUCUAUUCAUCCAAAUAUAUCCCUUAAGGUUUCAAGAACCAUGUAUUUAUAGUGUUGAAAGCUCUCUGAUAAUAAAUUAUUGUCUUUUCGUUUUCAACACAACACGGUCACCCAAGAGUCAUGCAUAGAAAACGAAGCAACUUUGGGAAUUUCAAAGGUCUUUCUUUUAUUUUUUUGGGGAAUUCCAAAGGUCUUUUUGGGAUUGAUUUUUUGUUUAUGGGAUAAAAGGGUUUGGGUUAGCCAAAUCAACUAAAACCAAAUGAUUUAAGUCCGAAUCAAACACGAACCUACAAAAUAAAAGAAAAUUGCAUUUGAAAAUAAAACGAGAUUUAUUUGCUGCAUCAGUUCCCCUCGAGUUGGGGAAAUCUCGACUUCGUCGAGAUGGCAUCCUGAUAUCUCUGGUACAAGUCCUCUUGAAGUUGGCGCAACUCCGCCUCAGAAAUCCAACUGCUAUCGGACAAUGGUCGUCCACGCCAACGCACCAACUAUCGGCGAUAAGUACCACGUCGGCACAUCCAGAAUAUCCUCCACGCCAUCUGAUGGAGUUUCAAUGUCGGAGCGAGAUGUCAAGCCAUCAAUAUCGACAGUAGAGGGGGCCUUUCCAUGGUACUCGUAUAGCUCGCUGACAUUGAAGAUCGGAGACGUCGAUACUUCUGGAGGUAGAUCAAUUAGAUAAGCAUUUUCCCCUAAUUUCUUCAGAAUUUUGAAUGGCCCGUACUUUUUCCUCUUCAACUUGCUAUAGCCUCCAGCUGAGAACCUUUCUUUUCUAAAUAGAUUAAGACAUUAUCUCCAUUAAAAGUCAUACCUCAGCGAUGUUUAUCAGCUGACUCCUUGUACUUGACAGUAGAAUCCCGCAACCUCUGAUGAACUUGUUGUUGCACCUCUUGAAUUUGUUUUAGGUAAUAGUUGGCAUCUGCACUAACUCUACCAGGGUAAGGUAUUGGUGCUCGGUCAAGAAAGUGGGCUAUAGGACAGCCAUAUAAAGCUUCAAAAGGAGAUUUUCCAAUGGUUCGGUUUAUGGAACUGUUAUAAGCAAAUUCAGCUUGAGGUAAAUUAAAUCCCAUUGUGUUGGUUUUUCUCCAACUAAACAUCUUAAGAGAUUACCCAAAGAUCGAUUUACUAUUUCCGUCUGCUCGUCAGUUUGUGGAUGGUAUGGGCUACUGAAAUUCAGUUUGCUUCCUGCCUUCGACAUUAAAGUUCUCCAAAAAUGACUAACAAAUUUUGUAUCUCGAUCAGAGGUAAUUGAUUUAGGAAUGCCAUGUAAACGUACAAUUUCAUUGAAAAAUAAUUUUGCAAUAUGUGAUGCAUCAGAAGUUUUCUUGCAAGGAAUAAAAUGAGCCAUUUUCGUAAAACGAUCAACAAUCACAAAAACUGAAUCAACUUGGCGUGCAGUCUUGGGUAGGCCUAGGACAAAGUCCAUGUUAAUAUCCUCCCAGGGCACAUUGGGAAUGGGCAGGGGAGUAUACAAGCCAGUAUUUUGAGUUUGUCCUUUAAAUGAUUGACAAGUCUUACACCGCUGAACAAACCUUUCAACGUCCUUCCUCAUGUUAGGCCAAUAAUACCUCUCUUGAACUAAUCCCAAAGUUUUGUCUCUCCCGAAAUGUCCUCCUAGCUCGCUAUGCAAGUUCUGAAUCAAGGACUCUCUUAACGAUCCCUGGGGAAUGCACAACUUGGACUUUCUAAAAAGAUACCGGCCGUCCAAACAGUAAUCAGAAGGUGAAUCACUAUCAGGAGAUAGGCACAUUUUUAGGAUAGGACCGAAGUUAGGGUCAUUUUGAUAUUGGUCCUUAACUAUCUCAAAUCCUACUAUCUGUAAGGAAGAAAUGAUAAGCAAAUAGUUUCUACGACUGAGUGCAUCAGCGACUCGAUUAGCAAUGCCUUGUUUAUGCCGCAAGUGAAAAGUGUAUUCUUGCAGGAAUGCAGACGCAUGUCUUUUGUUCGAGUUUUUUUUGAGAAUUUAAAUAUCGCAAUGCUUCAUGAUCCGAAUUAAGAAUAAACUCUCGAUGAAUCAAGUAGGGUCGCCAAUGUUUCAAAGCCUGCACGAUCGCGUAAAAUUCAAGAUCAUAAGUGGAGUAACGUACUCGUGCAUCGUUCAAUUUUUCACUAAAGAAGGCUAUAGGACGUUUCUUUUGAGACAGUACGCCUCCAAUUCCGAUAUGUGAGGCAUCACAAUCAAUCUCAAACACCUUUUCGAAGUCGGGCAAGGCAAGUACUGGAGCCUUUGUAAGUUUGUCCUUAGCCAAUUGAAAACUUUUUUCAGCUUCAGAUGUCCAAGUAAAUUUACCCCCUUUUAGGCAAUCAGUUAUUGGCGCAAUUAAUGAACUGAAAUUUCGAAUGAAACGCCGAUAAAACGACGCAAGUCCGUGGAAACUUCGGAUUUCAGUUAUAGUCUUUGGGGUUGGCCAAUUCUGAAUUGCUUCUAUCUUAACAGGAUCUACCUUAAUUCCCUCGGUGGACACCACAUAGCCUAAGAAGGUAAGGCUAUCGGUCAGAAAUGUACACUUCUUAAGAUUCAGAUGUAAGCUGUUAUCUCUUAAAGUUUGAAGCACUUGUCUUAAAUGAUCCAUAUGAGUUUCAGGACUCGUGCUAUAAAUCAGAAUGUCGUCGAAGUAAACUACGACAAAUUUUCCAAUGAAUGGUCGCAAGACUUGGUUCAUAGAGCGCAUGAAAGUACUAGGGGCAUUGGAUAGCCCAAACGGCAUAACCAACCACUCGUAUAAUCCUUCUUUAGUUUUAAACGCCGUUUUCCAUUCAUCUCCAGGUCGAAUACGGAUUUGAUGAUAUCCGCUCUUAAGGUCAAUCUUAGAGAAUAUCUUCGCACCUCCUAACAUGUCAAGCAUAUCAUCAAUCUCAGGAAUGGGAAACCUAUACUUGAUGGUAAUUUUGUUAACUGCACGACUGUCAAUACACAUUCGCUACGUUCCAUCCUUUUUUGGUGUAAGGAGGGCAGGCACCGCGACAGGGCUCAUACUUUCUCUAAUGUAACCUUUUUGCAGAAGUUCAAAAACCUGCCUAUAUAACUCUUCAUGCUCAGCGGGACUCAUCCUGUAAUGGGCUAGGUGUGGAAGACUAGCACCGGGUACAAAAUCAAUGCAGUGUUGGAUGUCUCUCAUAGGUGGAAGGCCAUCGGGGAGUUCCUCAGGCAUGAUAUCAGAAAAUUCAUUAAGCAAUGGUUGAACAACUUGAGGAACUUCAGUGUUCUUCGAUAUUUCUUUUGCCAAAAGAAUAUAUACCACUGGAGACUUUGCUAGAUCUUUAGAGAAUUGGCUUUUGUUCAAAACCAUCAUUUUCUGCUCAUUAUUGGAGGGUUGCUUUUGGGACUCAAUUGGCUUAGACUUUGGUUUGGGAAAGUAAUUUAGGGGAACCAAUCUAACUUUCUUUUUGUCCUUUUUGACAAUGUAAGUGUUCUCCCUACCAUCAUGUAUAGUGCUACGAUCAAAUUGCCAAGGUCUACCUAACAAUAGGUGACUCACAUCCAUGGGAACAACAUCACACCAAACUUUAUCAGCAUAAGUUUUCCCAAUAGAAAAUUCAACAAGACAUCUUUUAGUUACAGGAAAUUCAUCCCCAUCCUUAAACCAAGCUAUUUUGUAAGUUUGAGCAAGUUUUUCAGUUUUCAGUUUAAGCUUAUCAACUAUUUCUCAAGUGACAAAGUUUUUAGUACUUCCACUAUCAAUGACCAGAGAGCAAAACUUGCCUCCCGUGCUACAAAUGGUUCUGAAAAGGCUACGACGCUUCCAAUCAUCUUGGGUGGACUUAGAGGCUGAUAGGACUCGAUGGAUCAUGAGAUUUGUUUCAGUAGCAUCAGGAGAUUCUUCGGAAAUCUCAUCAACAUCUUCUUGUUCUAAAGUUUCUUCCCCAUUUUCAUUCUCUUCAUGACUUUCUAUUAGAUUGGCUCUAGAAUCAAAUUUUCUCAAAGGGCAAUCAGAGGAUUUAUGUCCAGGUUUGUUACAUUUAUAACAAAUGAUGCCAGAUUCAGCGGGUUUUGCACCUAAAAUUCCUUUGCCCUUGAGGUCUUGAACAAGUCUUGAAGAGGUAAUUAGUUUGAACUUGUUUCCACCACACUAAGGCAUGUCCUUUCAAUUUAAGGGAGACAAAUUUAACUUUUUUGUCAUCAGGUAAUUCUUUCCAUUCAAAAAAUUGUUCUAUUUUGUCUAGCCAAUCCACAAAAUCUUCAGGUUGUAAUUUACCCUCGAACUCACUCACGUCCACUUUAAUGCCCUGAUCCCAUCUAUGUAUAUUUCCUUGAUUUUGAAGAAGAGGAUUUCUUCUAACAGGUACAGUACGAUUGUCAAAAUCAGGGUCACUUUCCGAAUCUUCUCCAACUGCAGUUUGUUGUUGCAUACUUAAUCUUUCCAAUAGUUGUUGAAUGUUAUUCAUUUGAUUUUGCAUGCGUUUCAUGGAAUCUUGUUGUUUCUCAUAUGCUUCUCUCCAAUCACGAGGAUUUUCACUACUGCCAGCCAUUUCCAAAUGCUAACAAGUUGAUCAAAAAGUGAUGCCCUUUUUUUUUUGAAUAUUUUGGCCCAAAGUUGAAUACUAAGAAAAAGUUGUUUAGAUCAAAACAAACGCUGCCACGAAAAGAACUUUCUCUGAUACCAAUUGAUGCAAACCGAGAAGUUGCCAAAAGUGAAUUUUCACAUUUGCUUUUGUUUAAAGGUAAAACUAGGUUCAAUUUGUCAAUUCCGAUGAACUUUAAGCAAGGAAGCAAAAAUUUCAGCAAAACAAAAAUUAAAAUCGAAUUGAAGUAAUACUAAGAUGAUGAUAAACCUUCAAUAUAUGAGAUAAUAACAACCAACUGAAAAUACAUAUACUAGUUCCAAAAGGUAAAUUCGGCUUUAUCGAACUUAAAGCUUUAGGUUUGGUUGUUUGGCAAAUAUGGUUGGUAAUGGUGGAAGGCUAGAUUAAAAGGGGAUAAUAGGAUGUCAGGAGAUGAGAGAUACAAAAAGUGCACCGUUCACACGAUUGCGGGGGAUCCACGAUCGACGAGGAGGGCGGUACACCACAGGUAGAACUUCGGCAACGGGGAAGAAGAAGAUGAGGUAGUGACUCGGAAGAAGAGGAGGGGUAGAAGUAGAAGCCGAUCUUGUCAUGAGGAAGAAGCGACAACGAUCAAGUUGAAGAAAAAGACGAUCUCGGCGCGAGGAAGAAGCGUCGAUGAUCUCACCGGGAAGUAGAACAACAAGGAUAAAGAUUGAGAGUAGAAUUUUCUAUUCAUCCAAAUAUAUCCCUUAAGGCUUCAAGAACCAUGUAUUUAUAGUGUUGAAAGCCCUCUGAUAAUAAAUUAUUGUCUUUUCAUUUUCAACACAACACGGUCACCCAAGAGUCAUGCAUAGAAAACGAAGCAACUUUGGGAAUUUCAAAGGUCUUUCUUUUAUUUUUUUUUUGGGG
rnacentral:lncRNA from 1 species